rnacentral:piRNA from 1 species
UAGCACAAGACAGAGAUGCACUUGUGUGCAC